GCAGACACAUUCCAGCCAAUCAGCAGCAGACCCUCUCUCCCAGACCCUCCCACCUCCUGGACAGCAUCCAUUGUGAAGCUGCAUUCUUAGUGAGCUGUCCAGGAGGUGGGAGGAUCUGGGAGGGUCUGGGAGGGAGGGUCUGCUGCUGAUUGGCUGGAAUGUGUCUG